UACGGAGGGUGCAAACGUUGUUCGGAAUCACUGGGCGUAAAGCGCGUGUAGGCGGCUAUCUAAGUCUGAUGUGAAAGCCCUGGGCUCAACUCAGGAAGUGCAUUGGAUACUGGAUAGCUGGAGUACCGGAGAGGAGGGUGGAAUUCCUGGUGUAGCGGUGAAAUGCGUAGAUAUCAGGAGGAACACCGGUGGCGAAGGCGUCCCUCUGGCCGGAUACUGACGCUGAGACGCGAAAGCGUGGGGAGCAAACAGG
rnacentral:rRNA from 1 species